ensembl:snoRNA small nucleolar RNA SNORA22
CUGCACAGGGAACACCCAUGUGUGCUUCGUAGCUCCCUUGGUCAUUAGCCUGUGCUAAAGUAAAAGUCUGUUCUGUACCUCUGCAUGAGAAGAGCUGUCGUUCCUUCUACAUGUAUUCAUCAGACCAGCACAUUC